rnacentral:rRNA from 1 species
AUUGAACGCUGGCGGCAGGCCUAACACAUGCAAAUCGGGCGGAGCGGCAGACGGGUGAGUAAUGUCUGGGGAUCUGCCUGAUGGAGGGGGAUAACGUCCGGAAAGUGACGCUAAUACCGCAUACUAUCAGAUGAGCCUAGGUCGGAUUAGCUAGUUGGUGGGGUAAAGGACUACCAGGGCGACGAUCCGUAACCGGUCUGAGAGGAGGAUCAUUCACACUGGAACUGAGACACGGUCUGGAUUCCUACGGGAUGAAGCAGUGGGGAAUAUUUGACAAUGGGCGAAAGCCUGAUCCAGCCAUGCCGCGUGUGUGAAGAAGGUCUUCGGAUUGUAAAGCACUUUAAGUUGGGAGGCGUUACCAACAGAAUAAGCACCGGCUAACUUCGUGCCAGCAGCCGCGGUAAUAC